UACGGAGGGUGCAAGCGUUGUCCGGAUUUAUUGGGUUUAAAGGGUGCGUAGGCGGCCCGUUAAGUCAGUGGUGAAAGCCUCCAGCUCAACUGGAGAACUGCCAUUGAUACUGACGGGCUUGAGUACAGACGAGGUUGGCGGAAUUGAUUGUGUAGCGGUGAAAUGCAUAGAUACAAUCAAGAACUCCGAUUGCGUAGGCAGCUAACUAGGCUGUAACUGACACUGAGGCACGAAAGCGUGGGGAGCGAACAGG
rnacentral:rRNA from 1 species